rnacentral:rRNA from 1 species
GGGCCCGCACAAGCGGUGGAGCAUGUGGUUUAAUUCGAUGAUACGCGAGGAACCUUACCAGGGCUUAAAUGUAGUAUGACCGGUCUGGAAACAGGCCUUCCCUUCGGGGCAGAUUACAAGGUGCUGCAUGGUUGUCGUCAGCUCGUGCCGUGAGGUGUUAGGUUAAGUCCUGCAACGAGCGCAACCCCUAUUCUUAGUUGCCAGCGGUUCGGCCGGGGACUCUAAGAAGACUGCCAGCGCAAGCUGAGAGGAAGGUGGGGAUGACGUCAAAUCAUCACGGCCCUUACGUCCUGGGCUACACACGUGCUACAAUGGUAGAGACAGAGGGCAGCCACCUGGCGACAGGGAG